rnacentral:rRNA from 1 species
UACGGAGGGUGCAAGCGUUAUCCGGAUUUACUGGGUUUAAAGGGUGUGUAGGCGGGCUUUUAAGUCAGUGGUGAAAUCUCCGGGCUCAACCUGGAAACUGCCAUUGAUACUAUUAGUCUUGAAUUUUUGUUGAGGUAGGCGGAAUAAGUCAUGUAGCGGUGAAAUGCAUAGAUAUGACUUAGAACACCAAUUGCGAAGGCAGCU